rnacentral:rRNA from 1 species
UGGGGAAUAUUGCGCAAUGGGCGAAAGCCUGACGCAGCGACGCCGCGUGAGGGAUGAAGGUUUUCGGAUCGUAAACCUCUGUCAGAAGGGAAGAAACCGCACUGUGCUAAUCAGCAGUGCCUUGACGGUACCUUCAAAGGAAGCACCGGCUAACUCCGUGCCAGCAGCCGCGGUAAUACGGGGGGUGCAAGCGUUAAUCGGAAUUACUGGGCGUAAAGCGCACGUAGGCUGCUUUGUAAGUCAGGGGUGAAAUCCCACGGCUCAACCGUGGAACUGCCUUUGAUACUGCUUAGCUUGAAUCCGGGAGAGGGUGGCGGAAUUCCAGGUGUAGGAGUGAAAUCCGUAGAUAUCUGGAGGAACAACAGUGGCGAAGGCGGCCACCUGGACCGGUAUUGACGCUGAGGUGCGAAAGCGUGGGGAGCAAACAGG